GUCGCGUAGAUAGAUGAGUUCCUGCAAAGAUGAUGGAAAAUAAAUGUGCGGUAGCUAAAAUGGCAAGGAACCUCCUGGCGCGGUACAAAACAUGGACUUUUGUCUGGUUUUUGUAGAACCACCUGCAACUGGACACAAACAUCUCGGGUACAUUUCCCCCGAAUCGAGAACCAAGACAGCAUCGCCAUGAGCAGGUUAGUUGAAACAUCUAAUUGCGGCGUUUUCUAUAAACUAACCUGUAACGCCCAGUAAUGGAAACAUAGUUAUCACAUCUGUUUUACAAUCACAACACUUUGUCUGAAUUUAAAAUAAAGUACACCUCACAUCCGAUACGGUUUGGGAAAUCUUUGGAAUUUAACAUUCAUAUAAGCGUGAAAGAAUCUUUAAAUGACUAAAGAUACACAUAUUGUGUGCAGUUUAGCAAAGUUGCACCUGACUUUUUUUCCUCUCACCACCUCGGCUAUGACAUCCCCAUACCUUGCCCUCUCAAUUCCACUGCGACUAUUCCACAUGUCCUGUGUUUCUCAAAAUACAUAUGGGUGCAACUUUCCUAAACUGUGUAUACGUUGGACUUAUUGACUGAUGCCAAGGCGGCGGUUGCUAAGAAGAAAGGAGCAGCUGCGAAACAGAAGAUUGCAGCCAAGGCAGCACUGGUCCACACCUGCCUUGUCUGUCGGACGCAGACCUGAAGACAUUCAAGCAGCACUUUGAGAGCAAGCAUCCCAUGUCUCCAAUGGUCCCAGUACCGGUUGAUGUGCAGACAUAAGUGAACACACACUCAAAUGGACCUAUAGCUGGGACACAUGGUGACCACGAUUUGAAUGCUUACAACUGAGACGGAAUGACGUGACCCCGUGAAUGACUGGACAUGGGCUGGAUAUUUGUGACAACAACCUAAAAGGGGUGCAGACGCACACUAGCAUCCCAUUUUAUGUUUAUUCCAUAGCCAAUUAUAUCUCUAGCUAACUCUUUAUUCCACACUAUGCCUUUUAUGCCCCGUGGUCCCUCAACUUCUAACACUUUGUAACUCUCCAUUUUAUCUCUAUAAACCCACGCUACCUCCACCCAUUUUCCCUAUACUGCUUCCUUCACUUAUUAUUCUCCUGAUUUGAUAACAUUUAGACUCAAUAACAUGUUUCAAGGUGCUUAAACAUGGGCGGUGGUAAGCGGCAAUUGAACCACGAGAAUAUCCGCCCACCGUGUGUUCCACUGCCCACCAGUGAUCCAGGUUGUUGUCAGCUUGAAUGUUGUCAUUAAAACAUUGUUUGAUUGGUUGACAAGAUGAACUCUGCUCAUUGGUCAACCAUGCGCGGCGGCAGCUCAGGACUUAAGCUAAUGACAUCUUUUGGUGCCUUGAGCUCCGAGCCAGCUUCGCCGUUCAUGGGAGCAAGCACCACGAACAGGGCCGCUUGCAAAACUGCUUGCGUUUCGCCGCCAACCGCUCUACUCCAAUUGAAGUCUGUAACCCUUGCCACUUACCGCGGCCUUGUACCUUUUUGUGGUGUACUGUUUUUGCUACCUUCAGACUGAAUGCAGUGGUAAAUGUGUUGCUCACAAUUGACAGCCGCAAUAUGGACCUGUUAAAUUGACAAGGGUGUUGAUAUAGUUGACUUUAGGCAUGGCUUCCUUGUUUUGAGUCUGUUAAGUUUGUUUCUCAUUGACCUAGUAUUUUGACCUAGUAUUUUCUAUCAAAUCAAAUUUACUUAUAAAGCCCUUCUUACAUCAGCUGAUAUAUUAAAGUGCUGUACAGAAACCCAGCCUAAAACCCCAAACAGCAAGCAA